rnacentral:rRNA from 1 species
GAUGAACGCUGGCGGCGUGCUUAACACAUGCAAGUCGAACGAUGAAGCCCAGCUUGCCGGGUGGAUUAGUGGCGAACGGGUGAGUAACACGUGAGUAACCUGCCCUUGACUCUGGGAUAAGCCUGGGAAACUGGGUCUAAUACUGGAUAUGACUUCUCAUCGCAUGGUGGGGGGGUGGAAAGAUUUAUUGGUCUUGGAUGGACUCGCGGCCUAUCAGCUUGUUGGUGAGGUAAUGGCUCACCAAGGCGACGACGGGUAGCCGGCCUGAGAGGGUGACCGGCCACACUGGGACCGAGACACGGCCCAGACUCCUACGGGAGGCAGCAGUGGGGAAUAUUGCACAAUGGGCGCAAGCCUGAUGCAGCGACGCCGCGUGAGGGAUGACGGCCUUCGGGUUGUAAACCUCUUUCAGUAGGGAAGAAGCGAGAGUGACGGUACCUGCAGAAGAAGCGCCGGCUAACUACGUG